AUUGAACGCUGGCGGCAGGCCUAACACAUGCAAGUCGAGCGGAUGAAGGGAGCUUGCUCCUGGAUUCAGCGGCGGACGGGUGAGUAAUGCCUAGGAAUCUGCCUGGUAGUGGGGGAUAACGUCCGGAAACGGGCGCUAAUACCGCAUACGUCCUGUGGGAGAAAGUGGGGGAUCUUCGGACCUCACGCUAUAAGAUGACCCUAGGUCGGAUUAGCUAGUUGGUGGGGUAAAGGCCUACCAAGGCGACGAUCCGUAACUGGUCUGAGAGGAUGAUCAGUCACACCGGAACUGAGACACGGUCCAGACCCCUACGGGAGGCAGCAGUGGGGAAUAUUAGACAAUGGGCUAAAGCCUGAUCCAGCCCUGCCGCGUGUGUUAAGAAGUUCUUCUGAUUUUAAAGCAAUUCAAGUUGGGAGGAAGGGUAGUAAGUUAAUCCCGUGCUGUCUUGACGUUACCAACAGAAUAAGCACCGGCUAACUUCGUG
rnacentral:rRNA from 1 species